rnacentral:rRNA from 1 species
CUACGGGGCGCUGCAGUGGGGAAUAUUGGACAAUGGGCGAAAGCCUGAUCCAGCAAUGCCGCGUGAGUGAUGAAGGCCUUAGGGUUGUAAAGCUCUUUUACCCGGGAUGAUAAUGACAGUACCGGGAGAAUAAGCUCCGGCUAACUCCGUGCCAGCAGCCGCGGUAGUACGGAGGGAGCUAGCGUUGUUCGGAAUUACUGGGCGUAAAGCGCACGUAGGCGGCUUUGUAAGUUAGAGGUGAAAGCCCGGGGCUCAACUCCGGAACUGCCUUUAAGACUGCAUCGCUUGAAUCCAGGAGAGGUGAGUGGAAUUCCGAGUGUAGAGGUGAAAUUCGUAGAUAUUCGGAAGAACACCAGUGGCGAAGGCGGCUCACUGGACUGGUAUUGACGCUGAGGUGCGAAAGCGUGGGGAGCAAACAGGAUUAGAUACCCGCGUAGUC